rnacentral:rRNA from 1 species
CAGCCGCCGCGGUAAUACGGAGGGAGCUAGCGUUGUUCGGAAUUACUGGGCGUAAAGCGCACGUAGGCGGCUUUGUAAGUUAGAGGUGAAAGCCUGGAGCUCAACUCCAGAAUUGCCUUUAAGACUGCAUCGCUUGAAUCCAGGAGAGGUGAGUGGAAUUCCGAGUGUAGAGGUGAAAUUCGUAGAUAUUCGGAAGAACACCAGUGGCGAAGGCGGCUCACUGGACUGGUAUUGACGCUGAGGUGCGAAAGCGUGGGGAGCAAACAGGAUUAGAUACCCCUGUAGUCCCUGUCUCUUAUAA